UACGUAGGGUGCGAGCGUUGUCCGGAAUUAUUGGGCGUAAAGGGCUCGUAGGCGGUUUGUCACGUCAGGAGUGAAAACUCGGGGCUUAACCCCGAGCCUGCUUCUGAUACGGGCAGACUAGAGGUAUGCAGGGGAGAACGGAAUUCCUGGUGUAGCGGUGAAAUGCGCAGAUAUCAGGAGGAACACCGGUGGCGAAGGCGGUUCUCUGGGCAUUACCUGACGCUGAGGAGCGAAAGCAUGGGGAGCGAACAGG
rnacentral:rRNA from 1 species